rnacentral:ncRNA from 1 species
UAAGACGGGCCCUGGACGUCCCCACAAGCACAAAGGCUUGGUCCUGACUUUCUUAUCAAUUUUAGCUAAAUUUACACAUGCAAGUAUCCGCGCCCCUGUGAAGUAUGCCCCACCGCUACCCCUCUCGGGUAACAAGGAGCCGGCAUCAGGCACUUCCCCGAAUGCCCACGACGCCCUGCCUAGCCACGCCCCCACGGGACCUCAGCAGUGAUAAACAUUAAGCCAUAUGCGAAAGCUUGACUUAGUUAUAGCUAAGAGGGCCGGUAAAACUCGUGCCAGCCACCGCGGUUAUACGAGGGGCCCAAGUUGAUGAGCUGCCGGCGUAUGGCGUGGGUAGGACAAGACUCACACUAAGGCCAAACACCUUCAAGGCUGUAAUACGCACCCGAAGACAGGAAGUCCAACCACGAAAGUGGCUUUAUAUAGUUUCAACCCACGAAAGCUAGGGAACAAACGGGGAUUAGAGACCCUCUUAUGCCUAGCCGUAAACAUUGAUGGCCCAGUAACUCCGCCAUCCGCCUGGGAACUACGAGCAAGCGCUUAAAACCCAAAGGACCUGGCGGUGCUUUAGACCCCCCUAGAGGAGCCUGUUCUGGAACCGAUACCCCCCGUUCAACCUCACCCUUCCUUGUCCGUCCAGCCUAUAUACCGCCGUCGUCAGCCUACCCCCUGAGGGGCCUAAAGUAGACAAGACUGGUAAUACCCAAAACGACAGGUCGAGGUGUAGCGCAUGGAAGGGGAAGAAAUGGGCUACAUUCGCUACAAUAGCGAAUCACGAAUGAUGAGCUGAAACGCACAUCUGAAGGAGGAUUUAGCAGUAAGCGGGAAGUAGAGCGUCCCGCUGAAAAUGGCCCUGAAGCACGUACAUACCGCCCGUCACUCUCCCCAAAAACAUACCCGAAUAUUAAAUAAAACGAUAUACUAGAGAGGGGAGGUAAGUCGUAACAUGGUAAGUGUACCGGAAGGUGCGCUUGGAAAAAU